GCGUUUCCUCCUCUUUCCCGCCUCUUCUCCCCCUCCCUCUCUCUUUCGCCCUUGCCUAUCGUUUUGCUUUCGGGUAUGUUCCCCUUUCGUUGAAGGUAGCACGAAUCUACGCGCUCAUCCGAUAGAAACCGAUAAGAAACGUUCGACAUGCACACGAGGGAUUCCCACCAGGGACGAUCGGACCCCGGUAUUCCGUUCUUGACAAUCGUUGCAGCAGAUUCGAAUCAUUGAUUCAAUGAUUCGAAUUUUUUGGAGGAUGUAAACAUUGCGGUUGGGUCAUUUUCGACUCGUUUGAUUAGAAAAGCCGAUUAUUCGAAUUAUUUACAUUUAAAAUAUCUAAGGAGAAACGGAUGCAAGAAAAUUAUUGAAUGAAGAAAGAUGGAGAUAAAUGAUAUUCGUGACUCGAAAAAUUUGAAAUUGGGAAAAAUUAUGAUCGUAGAUCUGGGACGAAUAAAUACUAAGCAAGUGUAGUAAAGAUUUGGAGAGCGAUGAAAAGCGAGCGACGAGGAGUCAAGGCCGCCGACGGAGGUGGCACCAAGGGGGUGAAUUCCAAGUUCAGGACCUUUCGAAGGAUCCUUGCUCGCAACGGGACACCAUAGGGAGAUGUUAUACGAGGAGCGCGUAUCACGAGAAACGGUCCACGUCCCGUGACGAUGGGAUGAUCCACAUUCGUCCCGACACAUACGACGACGCGUUGACCAAGAGGAUGGCCGAUGAUCGUGAUUUAUCAUUGACCGGGUGAUGUUGGUGUUUCGCCUCUUCUUCUUUUUCCUCCUCUUUUUCCCCCUUUUUUCUUCUUCCUCUUUCCUUCCUUUCUUUUUCUCUUCCGGACAGUCGUCCGUGUGUCGUGGACGCGCGUGGUCGAUGCACGCGUGGAAUUCCGCAGGUGGUGGACGCGGCGCGUCGUCGACUGUCGACCUCGGUGCGCCUCGGAUGUGUGAUUGUGCAAAAGUGGGCAGGUGUGCGCGCGUAGAUGCACACACAGGUGUGCGGUCGAGUGGCGGCGGGCGGCCUGGCUCUUAGAGCAGUCGCGUUGUGACUGCCUCUUCGGACUUGCCACUGAAAGUGGAGAAUGAGGCGAAGAGUCCCACCUCCUUGUGCCACCUCCAACCGGGUGGGUACCAGCCCAUCGGACCCUCCUUCUCCUCUCUUGUCCUGUUCAACCUUUUGCUUCUCCACCGCACGCCGUCCUUCCGUCGAACGCGUUUCGCCGAUUCCUAUAUAUAUAUAUAUAUAUAUAUGUGCACGUAAAAUAGUAUACAUACACGAGAACAGAACACCUUACCUCUCACGUGCCUAUAUUCUCUCUCGAACGAAAGCCACGCUUCGAGUGUUUGCCGAUUAGCGCGCACGCUACCACGCUUACUCACGCUCAACCAAAUUUCCUUCUACUACCUGGCUGAGGAAAGGAGGGAUGGAGGGGAGCAAUAGUUUCACUACCUAGUACUAGCCGAGUGCAGAAAUUCGGCGCCCUAAAUAUUAUUGCCUUCCAGGGAGGUGUAGUACACCUGCUUCACGACAAUCUGCUGCUCCCAUCCUAUUCUUAUGUACCCGGUUCGCAUUUCCUUCGUUCAACUGACCAACAUCAUCCUUUGCACGAGGGCAGUAUGAAAAGGAUUUGUAAUCGAGGCUCCAUCUCUGUCCUUAGGAUUUUGUCCCUUCUCUCGCUCUUCGUUUCGUUCAAUUGUUCCUCGGAUACGACAGGUUGUUUCGGUGAAGAUUCUUCACGGAUGGAUGAUGUGCUUCGAGACAAUUCUUCGAGAGAAGUGUGUGUGUGUUAGGUGUGUAUGUAAGAUGUAUGUAUAAAAUGUGUGUGUAAAGUAUGUGUGUAAGGUGUUAGCCUCGGUGUUUGUUCUUUGUUUUUCGAACCGAUCGUUGUUGAGUGUAACGAGCGAGGAAUUUUAACAUUUUCGUUAUUAUUGGAAUUGAUUUUUGGAAAAUUAAAUAUUAAUAAUGUUAAAGUAAAGUAUCUUUCGAGAAGUAGACGUUAGUAAUCUUGGAUUAUACUUUACUUCUUUAGUUUUAUUAGAUGCGUUUAAAAUUAAUUAAUGUUUUCAUGUAAUAAUUAAUUUUUUUUUAAGAUCUGAGGAAAUGUGAAUAUAAUUAUUGAAAAUGAACAUAAUAAUUAUAAAAUAUAAUUCUAAAUUAUUAAUUAAAAAUAAGAUAUAAUUUAAAUAUAAAAUGUGUUGUAAAAUAUUUUAAAAGCAUAUUAAUAUUUCGUUUCGAUUAAAUUAUAUUCCAGAGUCGUAAAAAGCAUGACAUAUUCAACAAUAAAAUAAUAUGGAGUUUCCUGAAUAUUGAUAUAUUAUUGUCAUUUUGCUUUAAUUCUAGUACAGGUCAUACAAUAAUAAUCCAAACAAUUAUACCAGAUUCAGUUAAGAAGAAGAAGGUUGUUAUAUUAUCUUCAGUAAGCGGUAUUAGGAGUUGAUCCUCCUGUUUUCGUAUGCUUAUAAACAAUUUCGUAUGCUUGAUAAACAAAAUAUAUGGCACUUUAAAAAUUA